rnacentral:tRNA from 1 species
GCUCACGUAGCUCAGUCGGUAGAGCGUCGCCUUGGUAAGGCGGAGGUAGUCGGUUCAAUCCCGAUCGUGAGCU